AUCAUUUUGUAGUUCAUAAGCAUGAUGACUGGGUUUUCAUGCUCAUGUGUGAGGUGUGCCUCCCUCAAACCUUGUUACAAUGUCAGCACAUUACCCAUCUGAUG
ensembl:snoRNA